ACGUUCGAGCACUUCGGGAGCUAUAACCGGCGGACAGCCGACGCGGGUAGCUUGGCCGUUCCUUGCUCUGCACAUCGCUUGAAAACAGGCGGUCAUCCUGCAGCGUACGCUGCCAGCGUGCUUUCUUGCAGAGCCGCCUCCCCUGCUGGUGAUGACCAUAUGCAGCCAAUGCUGAUGUGAACCUGAGUGAUGAACAAAUGCAGAUCUGCAAAGGAGCUGUCCUGAAGCACCAUGCUUACUCAAGUCAUGCAGCGAGAGUCAGCAUGCCUGGAAAAGUACUUCAAGCACACCCAAUCUGGCUGACUGCACUACCUCAAGAAAAACUGCCUUUC
rnacentral:lncRNA from 1 species